CCUAGGACACGAUUUACCCUCGUUUGAAAGGAGUCCACAGCGGUAGAGAACUUUUAUUUCCUCUUAAUUGGAAAUGGAAAUAAACAGCAACAGCAGAAAAAACCAACAGCCAACUGAAUUUCCAAUAAAAAUGCAAUUGCCUCAAACAAUGUUCUUAUUUGUCUCCAAUGUGAUAAGAUGCUUCCAUUGGCUCUGUUGGCUGUUAAAAAACAUCUUGCCUUCUCACCGUUGAGCUUGCCAUUUUUUGAGACAUUUUGUUUGUUGUUUUUAUUCUAUUUUUCCCCCCACUGUCAGCAUGAUGACUUGCGACCUGCAGGUCAACCAAUCACAGCUGUAGUAUUCCACUAGACGAGAGGUUUGUAUCUGAGGGCACAAGGAGGAGAAUUCGAUCCGCAAUUUUCCGCCGCAUUCUUGAAAAAAAUGCAGAAACCUUACUAUUUUUACAUUACAGUUGCAUACGACCUGUAUGCAUCUGAUGUCUUUGACAUGUGGAUAUUGCUGUGCAAUGCUGGCAGUUCUCAGUGUUCUCCAAGAUGUUACAGUGAAGAAAAUAUCCAGAACGGACGUAUUUUGGCUGGACAUGCCAGUGGUGAGUUUGCAGACAGGGGUACAAUGUUAUGAGGCGUAGAAGCACUGCCCUCAGGGGAAGGGGAUAGGUUAAAAAGUCCAGUCCACAUGGAGUCAAGGAUCUGUUGUUUUCUUCUUCUUUUGUUUUACUGUGAGGGCUGGGGCGCUGUGCUCUCGGGCUUGCUGUCCUGGGCGGCAGGGGGUUUGCUGCUCCAGGGGCCGUUAUUCCCCAGAGCGGGGGAGCUGUUGAAGUCGUCCUCGUCAUCCAGGCCGUUGGUAGCGUCGUACUGUGUGUUCUCCAGACGAGUGAUCAGACGCUCAUCCUCGUCCCCGAAUUCGCCACCCAUCAGGGUCGGCUCGCCCACCACCAUCACAUCCUGCAGAGAGGCAGAGACAUGGAGAACAAAUUUACAAUUUGAAAUGGACAGGUGUUGGUGUAUCCAGUGAACCCAUCCAUACAGUCGACCCCUCUCGAAGCACUCGAAGCAAAUGAAACCUUCCUAUACAGAAAGCGGAUUCCUCCAGUGCUCCCUACCCAGCCCAAUCAAUACUCAUCAUGUAAGACAUAUUUCACAGAGAUGGCACUCUCACAGCGGGUCAAGGAAGGGAAGCGGAGAGAUUUAUCCAUUAUCCACCGCUAUCUGUGACUCUCACAAUGUGCAGGAAUCCUCAUGAUUCUUUAGGAAGGGAUGCCCCAAUAUGAGCUUGUUUUAUUUUAUGUUUUCACACUUCAUGAACAAAGUGGAUCAAAUUCUGUUGACAAAUAAUCACUGUUGUGUAAUCUGUGAUUUUAAACUUUUAUCAAUAAAAGAUUCAUGGCUGUA